GAUGAACGCUGGCGGCGUGCUUAACACAUGCAAGUCGAGCGAAGCACUAAAGCGGAUUUCUUCGGAUUGAAGGUUUAGUGACUGAGCGGCGGACGGGUGAGUAACGCGUGGGUAACCUGCCUCAUACAGGGGGAUAACAGUUGGAAACGGCUGCUAAUACCGCAUAAGCGCACAGUACCGCAUGGUACGGUGUGAAAAACUCCGGUGGUAUGAGAUGGACCCGCGUCUGAUUAGGUAGUUGGUGGGGUAACGGCCUACCAAGCCGACGAUCAGUAGCCGACCUGAGAGGGUGACCGGCCACAUUGGGACUGAGACACGGCCCAAACUCCUACGGGAGGCAGCAGUGGGGAAUAUUGCACAAUGGGGGAAACCCUGAUGCAGCGACGCCGCGUGAGCGAAGAAGUAUUUCGGUAUGUAAAGCUCUAUCAGCAGGGAAGAAAAUGACGGUACCKAC
rnacentral:rRNA from 1 species